UACGUAGGGGGCAAGCGUUGUCCGGAAUCAUUGGGCGUAAAGCGCGUGUAGGCGGCUCGGUAAGUCUGCUGUGAAAGUCCAGGGCUCAACCCUGGGAUGCCGGUGGAUACUGUCGAGCUCGAGUCCGGAAGAGGCGAGUGGAAUUCCUUGUGUAGCGGUGAAAUGCGCAGAUAUCAGGAGGAACACCAAUGGCGAAGGCAGCUCGCUGGGACGUGACUGACGCUGAGACGCGAAAGCGUGGGGAGCAAACAGG
rnacentral:rRNA from 1 species